GCAGCCAGGGCAGAGAGCACAGGAAUCUGAGGUGACUGGCACAGAAGACUCAGGCCUGUGGCUCCUCCCCCAG
ensembl:miRNA